rnacentral:rRNA from 1 species
GGAAAGGCGCGCGAUACAGGGUGACAGCCCCGUACACAAAAAUGCACAUGCUGUGAGCUCGAUGAGUAGGGCGGGACACGUGGUAUCCUGUCUGAAUAUGGGGGGACCAUCCUCCAAGGCUAAAUACUCCUGACUGACCGAUAGUGAACCAGUACCGUGAGGGAAAGGCGAAAAGAACCCCGGCGAGGGGAGUGAAAAAGAACCUGAAACCGUGUACGUACAAGCAGUGGGAGCACGCUUAGGCGUGUGACUGCGUACCUUUUGUAUAAUGGGUCAGCGACUUAUAUUCUGUAGCAAGGUUAACCGAAUAGGGGAGCCGAAGGGAAACCGAGUCUUAACUGGGCGUUAAGUUGCAGGGUAUAGACCCGAAACCCGGUGAUCUAGCCAUGGGCAGGUUGAAGGUUGGGUAACACUAACUGGAGGACCGAACCGACUAAUGUUGAAAAAUUAGCGGAUGACUUGUGGCUGGGGGUGAAAGGCCAAUCAAACCGGGAGAUAGCUGGUUCUCCCCGAAAGCUAUUUAGGUAGCGCCUCGUGAAUUCAUCUCCGGGGGUAGAGCACUGUUUCGGCAAGGGGGUCAUCCCGACUUACCAACCCGAUGCAAACUGCGAAUACCGGAGAAUGUUAUCACGGGAGACACACGGCGGGUGCUAACGUCCGUCGUGAAGAGGGAAACAACCCAGACCGCCAGCUAAGGUCCCAAAGUCAUGGUUAAGUGGGAAACGAUGUGGGAAGGCCCAGACAGCCAGGAUGUUGGCUUAGAAGCAGCCAUCAUUUAAAGAAAGCGUAAUAGCUCACUGGUCGAGUCGGCCUGCGCGGAAGAUGUAACGGGGCUAAACCAUGCACCGAAGCUGCGGCAGCGACACUAUGUGU